UCAGCUCUUCCCCCACCCCCCCGCUCUUCGCCCGAGAUAACUGUCCCUAGGCAGUCCUCACUUCAGGCUCUUUUGAGGAAUCCUCCAUGUGCGGGGCUAUGAGUGGUGAUUGCAUUGGGGACUCAUGGGAAACAGGUAAACGGAGGCGACAAAAGGGAGCCUACCGAGUUGCACUCCCAUGCAAUCUUUCCGUCUCCUUUCCCCUCCCAAGGCUAAAAAUUCCAAAGGCUAUUUGUCCUGCUUAUCACUGCAUCUCUCUCUGUUCAGUUCCAUGAAUGCUAUUGUGGGAUCUGAGAGCGCAGGAGAGGAAAAGGAAUUUCAUCCGUGUCGAGCUGUUUUUGCCCGCUUAGUGUAGAGGUGAUUGAUUAAAAAAAAAACAUUUACGAAAAGCCUAAGAAGAAGCGCUAACCCUGUGUUUUUGCCCCCCACCACUAGCUGCAAUUGGAAACCGGAAAUCUCUGUGCUGAGCCGUUAAGAGUGUAACAGUGCAGCCCUUCACUCUUCCCCUUUGCCUCGACUCCUGUUGCCAACAAAGGAAAAGGGGGAAAGAAUCCUGUGGGUGCCCCCUGGCGGCGACCUAAGGGAGCCGCAAGAACAGAGUAAGUCUCGGGGCCGUAUAGGGCAUAUGCAGCAUGGGGGCCAUUUUGAAACCAGAACGAGUCUGGGGGAAUAACCAUCCGAGGCCCAAGAUGGAGGAUAGUAUUUUUUAAUGCUUCCCAUACAUUUUAUUAAAAAUAUGCAAUGCAAGUAGAAAACUAGCAUAGCAGGGAGAGGGGUAGGCCAAUACCCCUGUGCUAUGCUAAUCUUCUACUUGCAGGGAGUUGUUGCUGGCUCAUCUUUUGUUGUUUGUCUGCUUCUCAGACAUGGGAGAGUAUUCAUCAAUGGUACUCCUCACUUUCAGGCUCAGCAUAAAAAAAGCCUUGUAACAAAGUUAAUAUGGCAUAAGGCAUGGAUGGGGAGCAUAUGACCCUUCAGCUGUUGGACUACAACUCCUAUCAGCCCCAGCCAGCAUGAUAGUGGUUAUGGCAUUGUAGUCCAACAAGACAUAUGAAAGUGGUAUAUUUUCUCAUCCUUAAUGCAGAAUAUCGGAUUAGGCCUGGAGAGACUCAGGUUUAAGUUCCCAGCUGGCAACGAAACUAACUGAAUGGCAUACUCUCCAACAUUUCUCUGAUGAAAAUAGGGACAUCCUACUACAGAAUAAUAAUGAUUUUAUUAUUUAUACCCUGCCCAUCUAUGGGUUGCCACUUUUGCAUCUUGUCUGAAAGUGCACCGAGAUCACAUUGACAUAGAGCUGAAUAAUGCUCUGCACUGCAAAAAAGGCAGAAUGUUGAAGAUGUGCCUGCUCAAACAAAAUUUAAACAGAAGUCUGGCAACCCGGAGUCAUACAGAAUAAUUUUGGAGCGGGGGGGGGGGGCAGUUAGUAAAAUGAGAUGGGAAAGUCAUUGGUGCACUGCAAAGCUUGCAUGAAUUGUGGAGGAUGGGAGGUGGGGAGAAAUAAUCCCAACUGCUACAAAAUAGAAUGAUGCACAAGCACAAUAUUUUAAAUGGGAAAUAAAACUUUAUUACAUAGGAGAUAAAAUAUUUAAUGUCCAUCUAUCACUGUAAAAAAGCCCAACACCCAUUAUGCCACUACUUCAAAUCUUUCUCAAAACUCACAUUCUCUGCUGUGUCUUUGGCACACACCACUUGUCCUACCUCCACAACCAAGCUUUCUGUGUAACUGCAAUAAUUGCAGUGUUUUUCUCCAUUUAUCCCAGUCUUCAUUUCCUCUCUUUAAUUUUGCAGUUUCAAUUACAUUCCAGAUUGUAGUCGUCUUGGAUUAUGGAAUUGUCAUCCCAUGUUUAGUAAACCAUGGGGAAAGCAAGCCAUAAGUAAAUUUGUGCUGCUUUCCUCAUUGACAUUUUCUUGGAAGUUUCCAGCAGCCUCGCUCCCCAACUAUUAAAAAGAGAAAAUGAAGUCUACAGCACUGAGAAAACAACAAGCAAAGCAAGUGUGCAGAUUAAGUUACCUGAACAGUGAGAACAGUGGUUACCUGAAUGGAGGAUGCAAACCUGAAGACAGAUUCAAGCCAGUGACUCCGAGCAAACAAGGGAGAGCCACCAACACUAAAUUUAGUUGUAAUACUAAAUUAAAGUGGUAUACUUGUUCCAUUAGAGAAAUGUUAUGUUGUGCAAGAGAAUACAUACGGUGGUUACCAAUAGCUUUAUGCAACUAUUCUUUGGGCUCCUCCUUGUGCAACAUUAAAACUCACCCACCUGCUGGCGCAGGAGUCCUUGCACUAGUGACAGAGAACAUUGAAUACUGUACAGCCCUUUGUAAUACAUGUGCAUGCCACAAUACUCAUUCCAGCCCCACUGAACCAACUGGGUAUGUCUCUUGUUCCAGGUGGGCCAUCCAACACCACUAGUUGUUUUAACUUGACCUACAUCAAAACUAGAGUACACAAGAGACCUAGGACUCAGCUACAUUAGUCAAAAAACGUUUUGAAUGUGUUAUAAACAUACAAAACCAGAUGGCACCAGAGAGCAAAAUAAAUGUUUAUGUGAUUUUUACAUAGCUG
rnacentral:lncRNA from 1 species